rfam:Exophiala xenobiotica strain CBS 118157 unplaced genomic scaffold supercont1.5, whole genome shotgun sequence.
GGUGGCGUGGCCUAAUGGUAAGGCGUUGCUUUCCGGUUUUGCCUGGCAAAGACUGUGGGUUCGAGUCCCAUCGCCAUCG